GAGUUUAGCGUGNUCGCGAGUCAUUGGGUGUUACACAACCUAAUGGGGAAAANAAAGUCAAGAGCNGNNCCUSUGACUGUCGAGGGAUGAUGAGCUACUGAUCUGGUCGUUCUAACCGGCGACUGAGCGUGUCUCCGCACUCCCGGGGCGAUUCGUUCUCAUUGCGAGUGGAAGCGCACCAAGAGCGAGUACUGCUGAAACCCCAAAGAAGGUGAACUAUGCCUGGCCAGGACGAAACCUGGGGAAACCCGGGUGGARGUCCGCAACCAUUCUGACGUGCAAAUCGAUCGUCGGAGCUGGGUAUAGGGGCGAAAGACCAAUCGAACCAUCUAGUAGCUGGUUCCCUCUGAAGUUUCCCUCAGGAUAGCUUGCGCUCGGGUGUGAAGAGUCUCAUCCGGUAGAGCGAAUGAUUUGAGGCCUUGGGGUCGAAACGACCUCAACCUAUUCUCAAACUCCGAAUACAUUAUAACCCCGGCUUGCUUGAACUUUGGUGCCUUAUUGAAGCCGCGGGACUCGGAUCAGAGUGCCAAGUGGGCCAAUUUUG
rnacentral:rRNA from 1 species